CCUACGGGAGGCAGCAGUGGGGGAUAUUGCACAAUGGAGGAAACUCUGAUGCAGCGACGCCGCGUGAGGGAAGACGGUCUUCGGAUUGUAAACCUUUGUUUUUGGGGAAGAAAAUGACGGUACCCAAAGAGGAAGCUCCGGCUAACUACGUGCCAGCAGCCGCGGUAAUACGUAGGGAGCGAGCGUUGUCCGGAAUUACUGGGUGUAAAGGGGGCGUAGGCGGGCGAGAAAGUUGAAUGUUAAAUCUACCGGCUUAACUGGUAGCUGCGUUCAAAACUUCUUGUCUUGAGUGGAGGAGAGGCAGGCGGAAUUCGUGGUGUAGCGGUGAAAUGCAUAGAUAUUAGGAAGAACACCGGUGGCGAAGGCAGCCUGCUGGGCUUUAACUGACGCUGAGGCUCGAAAGCGUGGGGAGCGAACAGGAUUAGAUACCCGUGUAGUC
rnacentral:rRNA from 1 species